UACGGAGGGUGCGAGCGUUGUCCGGAAUCACUGGGCGUAAAGGGCGCGUAGGCGGCGCGGUAAGCGCGCGGUGAAAGUCCGGGGCUCAACCCCGGAUCGGCCGUGCGGACUGCCGCGCUCGAGCACUGUAGGGGCGGGUGGAACUCCGGGUGUAGCGGUGGAAUGCGUAGAGAUCCGGAAGAACACCGGUGGCGAAGGCGGCCUGCUGGGCAGUUUAGCUGACACUGAGGCGCGACAGCGUGGGGAGCAAACAGG
rnacentral:rRNA from 1 species